UCGGCUUAGAGUUUGAUCAUGGCUCAGGAUGAACGCUGGCGGCGUGCCUAAUACAUGCAAGUCGAACGCAAAGGUGCUUGCACCUUUGAGUGGCGAACGGGUGAGUAACACGUGGACAACCUGCCUCAAGGCUGGGGAUAACAUUUGGAAACAGAUGCUAAUACCGAAUAAAACUCAGUCGCAUGACCAAAGUUAAAAGGCGUUUGCGUCACCUAGAGAUGGAUCCGCGGUGCAUUAGUUAGUUGGUGGGGUAAAGGCCUACCAAGACAAUGAUGCAUAGCCGAGUUGAGAGACUGAUCGGCCACAUUGGGACUGAGACACGGCCCAAACUCCUACGGGAGGCUGCAGUAGGGAAUCUUCCACAAUGGGCGAAAGCCUGAUGGAGCAACGCCGCGUGUGUGAUGAAGGCUUUCGGGUCGUAAAGCACUGUUGUAUGGGAAGAACAGCUAGAAUGAAUAUUUUAGUUUGACGGUACCAUACCAGAAAGGGACGGCUAAAUACGUGCCAGCAGCCGCGGUAAUACGUAUGUCCCGAGCGUUAUCCGGAUUUAUUGGGCGUAAAGCGAGCGCAGACGGUUGAUUAAGUCUGAUGUGAAAGCCCGGAGCUCAACUCCGGAAUGGCAUUGGAAACUGGUUAACUUGAGUGCAGUAGAGGUAAGUGGAACUCCAUGUGUAGCGGUGGAAUGCGUAGAUAUAUGGAAGACACCAGUGGGGAAGCGGCUUACUGGACUGUAACUGACGUUGAGGCUCGAAAGUGUGGGGAGCAAACAGG
rnacentral:rRNA from 1 species